UCAAAGGCGAUGAAUGAGAGUAGUAGGAAGAAGAAUUUUUUAGAGAGCAGACGGGUGGUGUAAGUCUGCAGAUGAAUUUUCUGAACUCGCUCAAAGAGCUGUGAAUUGAAAUUAAGUAGAUUCAACCGGUUAAUAACCGUUAUUUUAAUUAAGUUAUAAGUUUGGAUGGUACCGCGCCCUUGCGCUCCAAUA
rnacentral:ncRNA from 1 species